UCUUACCAUAGAAAAGGUCUUCCCACUGGACCAGUAAUGGCAUACUACAGCAGUGAUACUGGUCUCCAUUAUCUCAGAAGCUGCAUUUUCUAGUUGCUGACACUGAACAGCUGGUCUGAUUGGUUUCACAUUACAAAGAUGGUAUAAAUUAAGUUGCCAUGUGAAUCAAGAAUGAAUCUCCCACACAAAAAGAUAUGCAAUACCUUUUAUUUAGCCUUGUGCACUAGAAGUGUUCACAAUACUGAAACCUACCAUCCUGCAGUGAGGGAAACAUAUAUUGGGCCUUAUCUAUGAAAACCAAAGACAUUCCUUUAGGCUUUGACUUUAAGAGUAGGUGAAUCCAUAUAAAAUAUGGAUUUUUAUCCUUACAGCUUUAAAGAAAUUUCUGCAGUAUAGCUGUGGUUUUUUCAACAGUGUAGGGUUUUUCCUAUUUGUCAUUCAGACAUACAGAGUUAUAUAGAGGGGUUAAUGAAUAUCCAGUUUGAUGAUGGCACCCCAGGGACCUGUGUUUUAUUGGAAAGAUGCUCCUUUAACAGAUAUCUCACUUACCCAUCAACUUUGAGGUGUAAGACUGAGGAUUUCUACAUUAUCAUUUCACUUAUACAAGUACUGCCUUUAAAAGAAAUUGUUUCUUGCAGCGGUCCUCUGGAAUUUCUGGAUGACCUAGUUCCCUCCUGAGGGAUGACUCCUAAACUCACUUAAAUCAAAGGCAGUUAUCCUUAAUUCUUUAAAAUAACUUUGGGAAAUAAAGAAUUGGUGUUGUUUUUAUGCUGGCUCAGAAGUACCUUCAAGACAAAGUUCAUUUUGGCACAUCCAAUCAAGUAAGGGAUUAAUGGCUCUCGUGUGGGAAAAAACAAGRCAUAGGCAGCUUCAAGGAGUCAUCACACCACCUUGCUCUUUGACCAUUCUUGCUUUAGAAAAYUGGCUUUUGCCUGCCCUUGCAACUGCCAGCAAGGAGAGGCAACUGGAACCUCACAAAAAGAACAAAUCAAGCCUAGUCGGGCCACCUUCUCCUUUUWCUUUUUUUGUGCAAACACCUCUCUGAACCCAUCAGAGGGAMACGCCMUUUCUCUCAGAUAUUUGAGCACACACCRACAUCAUUUCCUCUUGUGGAACAGUGCCAUCACGUUUCCCUUGCUGGAAGCAUUUUCGCAGCGUGCAAAGGCCCUUAGCAAUGUGCAGCCCCAGUGAGGAUGUGCUGAUGGCUCUACUCUUUGACUGCAUUCCUGCCCACAGCCAUAACCUGCUGCAUGGUGCCCCCAGCUCCCUGUGGGAUCACAGCGAGCUUUCACCAAGUGAAAAUGCUCUCUAAAUCCUGCUUAUCUAGCAAGAAGAUUUGCAAAGAAGGAGCCCUCUGCCCCCUCAUCUUGCACAGACGGUCUGACUCACUGGACUCAGGAUUCCCAUCUGGAUGUCUCUUUGAAAGAUGGGUGCAAGCCAAGGAGUUUGUCUAUUCUUAGCCUUAUCUGCUAUAAAGAUAGUUUUCCCCAUAAAAACCUACUGUCGUUCAGCCAUCUCAGAGAACACCUGUCUCCAAGCAAAAACAGCAGCAGUGUGAAUCCUGUUCCCUGCUCAUUUUAAUGCGGUGUUAAUAUCAGAGCYCGAUGGAGAUUAUAUAAGUGCUGACAUAGCUGAGGAAAACCGCGAAAAAAAAACAAAAAUAAAUGGAAGUCAAAUAAUUUGAACCCUGUCACCAUGCAGUGCCAACUACAGGAAUGUGAAYGGCACUUGGAGGCAGAAAAAUCUUCUUACACCUCCUGUGCUCCAGAAAUGACACCAYUUGCUUGCCAGCUUCUCCGACCAGCAGCUUCCCACUUUCUCCURUGCUGCUUGAGGACAUGGCAUGUCCUGGUGACGUGAUCCACAAAACCGUGCCUCUCUCAGCCCUGCUCCCCUCCCCUUGUGCUCGGGAUUUCUGCGGGAGCUUGGCCCCUGGCAGCCAGGCAGCCGCAAAGAGGGAUGCCAGAGGGGGCAGUGUAUAUUAAAAAACAACGCGCAGCCUCUUAAACCGCCUCGAACAAAAUUGUGCAAUAAUUGGCUUGUGCAACCAUGUGAUCUUAUCACUGUGAGCCAGGGUUUUCAGAGGAAACUGAAAGGAGUGAAACACCCACUAGAUCCUGCUUCAGAUCAUCUGAAAAGCUCGGCUGUUUCCUUCGUCCUCCUCUCUUCAUGUUUUACAAUUUGCUCGUGGUGGUAUUUCUCCCUGAGCUCCUGGGAGGCCAGGCUCUUUGCCAGAUCUGUUUGUACACACUCCCAGGGUAGGUUUGGGUUGUUGGCCAGUUUCCCUGUGUCCUGGCUUUCCCUGUAGCUUGGAGCUAAGGCAGCCCCGGUCAUCUUCCAGCAAAAGUCUGGUAUGGCCAGGCAGGGCCAGCCAAGCGUGGGAUGGACUGGCCCUGUCUCUAAAGGGCUCUGCAGGCUACCACCCUAACAGGGCCAGGGCUGUGGGGGCCACCUUGAAGAGUGAUGUCUUGAGACAGACAAGAUAUGGAGAUUUUAGAGAAUGAGGAAAGAUAAAUCUUCCUUACUACACGGUUAAGACAGAAAAGUAACAGUCUGUAAAAACAGGAAUAUAUUAGAGCAGAGCAUACUGCUGUGCUGGGUAAUUCCUGUGCUGGGUUUAUAAAGAACAUUCAGGAGGAUGGUGUUUCUGGGCUCUUGGCUGUYCAUGACAAUACCCUUUCCCACAGAUGUAUCCUGGAGCUUGCCCCACCUUCAGAAGGGAUCUCUGGUUGCAGCACUGUGUCUGUCUGCCAGGGUUACGGGGUGCAGCUGGCUGUGCUUCCUGCCCACGAGUGUUUCCUGUGGAUGCUGUGAUCAGUCAGGGRUGCAGGGAGACAUGAGUGGCAUGGGGAGCAGGAGCACUGGGUGCUGGGAUGGCAGGWCCAACACGAAGCUUUGGACUCUUCUGAUAGUCAGUGGAGAGAAAUCAAGAAUCCUUGUGCACAUAUGAAAAAAAAGAUCAGGCAAAACACCUUUUAAGUGUCUGUUUCUCUCUUAACUACAAAGAGAGUCCAGUUGCUUAGCUGAGAGAUGUGGAAAGCCCUGAGAUCAGGUGGUAUCAAUCUCACCACAGCUUUAGAAACCAGGACAAUUUCACACAAGGACUUGAUAUAUGGCACUUAUGWGGGGACACAAUGAUGUGGACACACUUACAUUAACGUAACAUUAUACUAGUGUGCAUGAGAAACUGUCAUCCUCGAGGUGGUAUAAACAUACCCUUAGUCCUACAGUCAAAUAGCAUUAGCAUCAGACAGCUACUCAGUACUUAAAACUGUGCAAAACACCAGGAAAAUGCCCAGAAGUAGUCUGGGACCAGAGUGACCCCAGAGCUGCCAAGCCCAAAAUUGGAGGAGUGUGGGACAYAAGGCCUCAUCUAGAAGUCAUGCAUGUGCCACAAUUCUUUUCUUUUUUAGUACAAACUGCCCUUGAUUAGUCAUCGACCUGGUUUAGAAGUUGCACCGCUCCCACUCAAGCUGUGAGUGKAGAACAUAUUUAAAUAUAAUAGACUCCACGAUCAUUUUAAAACUGGCCUAGAUCURGGCCCGUGGGGGACUGUAACUAAUUUGAUAGAAGCUGUAGCUUCUAAAUAGAACCACCUGAGACCUCUCCAGAGUUCAGCUGUGGGGUUCACUGUUCCAGCACAAAGCCUCAGCUCAGCUCCUGUACUUCUUCACAGCCUUUCUCAGCAGAGAGGAUGAUUUGGGGGGCAGCAAAAUCGGUUUCCUGAUGGAUAGCCUUCCCAGUGGGAAUUAUGAAGCAGAGGGAGGAGCGGAAUUAUGGUUUCAGCUCCCCAAACCAUUGGAGGGCUGCAUUUUUGCACAGUUUUGAGUCAAAACCAUAUGCAGCUCCACGGUUUUGGCUGUGGUUUGCCUUGGGUUUUUUUGAGCUAACUGCAAUAGUGACUGAUCCAAAAGGUAGGAGUAAGUAAAGUCACCGUAUGUUUUAAACCUUCCAUGCUGGAAUGUUUUUUUGCAGUAUGCAAGUCCCGUUUUUAAUGUCAGAAGCACUUCCCACCUUAGAUUUUCACUUCUUCAGCAUUGACUAAGCACCUCUGCAAACUCAGGACGAAAUAUCUGCCUUUCACCCAUGAGCACAACAGUGUCAAGCCAGUAAGUUUGUGUUUCUGUAGUGAUUUUGGCUGCAUUAUUUGCAAUAGCUGGUACUCCUGCACCUUCCAGACCAGAACAUCGCAGGGGCUGGCUGCAGAGUGAAAAAAACUUGGGCUGAUGGUGGGUGGCACUUCAGUGCUACUGAAGCAAAAACAUCAGCCUUCAGACGGCACCAUAGCUGAGACUGCCUUGCCCAUCUCUGAUGUCUGCUGAAGUGGAAAUCAGCCAUUGCCCCAGGCUCUUUAUUCAAAUUUAAUUUCUUUCAAAUUUCAUCUGUUCCCUCUCCAAAAAAAAAGGUUUAAUGGAAGCUUUGUGUGAGAGUGUUAUAGCUGCUGUGCUUGCCACCAAAAUCUCUUUCCCACUCCUGUACCCUGGUAUAAAUAUCACAAAUCCAUGAAAAAAAGAGACAGCAAAGUGUUAGUGGUACUGAGUUCUAGGAUCAUCUUUAUUCACRGAAUCACAGAAUGAUGGGAAGGGACCUCUGGAGAUCACUUAGUCCAGCASCCCUGCUGAAGCAGGUUCACCUAGAACAGGUUGCAUGGGAUCAUGUCCAGGCAGGCUUGAAUAUCUCAAGAGAAGGAGACUCCACAACCUCUCUGGGCAGCCUGUUCCCCUGGUUUUCUGUCACCCUCACAGCAAAGAAGUUUUUCUUCAUAUUCAGACAGAAUUUCCUGUGUUUCAGGUUGUGCCCGUUGCUCUUCUCCUGUCGCUGGGCAGCACUGGAAUGAAUCUUGCCCCAUUCUCUUAUCUCCUGCCCUUCAGAUAUUUGUCUGCAUUGAUAAGAUCCCAUCCCAGCCAUCUCUUCUCCAGGAUGAACAGGCCCRGCUCCCUCAGCCUUUCCUUGUCAGAGAGAUGCUCCAGCUCUCUCAUCAUCCUCACAGCCCUCCCCUGGGCCUGGUCCAGGAGUUCCUUGUGUUUCCAAAAUGGGAGRGUUCAGAACUGGGCACAGCUCUCCAGAUGUGGCCUCACCAGGGCCGAGCAGAGGGGCAGGACCAUCUCUCCUGACCUGCUGGCCACACUCUUCCUGUCACCCCAGGCCACAAGGGCACACACACUGCUGGCCCACGGACAGCUUGUUGUCCCCAGGACCCACAGGUCCUUCUCUGCAGAACUCUUGCCAGCAGCUCAGCCCCCAGCCUGUCCUGGCACAUGGAUUUAUUCCUUCCUGCCCAUCCCUGCCCAGGUCAGGACCUUGCCCCUGCCUUCACUGAAUUUCUCCCCAGCCUGUCCGGGUGUCUGAGCAGCAGCACAGCGCUCUGGGGUGUCAGCCCCUCCUGCCACUGCUGUGCCACCACUGAGUGCCAAACUCGCUGUCCCUUGGGMCAGGUCACUGUGAGCCCGUGGAACAGACUGGAGCCAGAACUGACCCCUGGGAACACCGUGAGCUGCAGCCUCCAGCCGGACCCUGCGGCUGAUCACAGCCCUGUGAGCUCUGCUGUCCGGCCAGUGUCCAGUCACCUCACUCUGCUUCCUGAGCUCACCUGUGAGGAUGUUAUGGGACAGUGCCAAAAGCCUCGAUGAAGCCAAAGCAGACAACAUCUACUGCUGUCCCCUCAUCUACCCAGCCAGUCAUGCCAUCACAGAAAGCAGUCAGGUGGGUCAAGCAUGAUUUGCUCCUGCUGAGUCCAUGAUGACUGUUCCUAAACACCUCAUUUUUCUUCACAUGCUUAGACAUGUGACAUCCAGCAUGAACUGUUCCUUCACCUUUCCUGGGACUGAGGUGACGCUCACUGGCCAACAGUUCCCUGUUUCCUUCUUGUAGCCCAUUUUGAAGCCUGCAGUGGCACUGGCUUUCUCCAGUCCUCAGGCAMCUCUCCUGUUCUCUAUGACUUUSAAAGAUGRUGGAGAGCCAGAUGGUAACAUCUGCCAGCUCCCUCAGCACUCAUGGACACAUCCCAUUGGGCUGCAUGGAUGUGUGUGUGACAAAUUUGCUUACAUGAACUGUAACCUGAGCCUCCUUGACCAGUGGGAAGUUCUCAUUUCUCCAGUCUUGGUCUCUUUCCACCGGGGUCUGGGAUUCCUGAUGGCCACACCCGGCAGUAAGGAUUGAGGCAAGGAAGGCAUUCAGUAACUCCACCUUCUCUGUAUCCUCUGGCAUCAAGGUGCCAACCUUGUGCAGAAGCAGACCCACAUUUUCCUGUUUUCUUUUUGUUACUUAUUCAAUGCAGAUGAUGCUACAAUGUAUAUUCUGAAUGCAGUGCUACACAACUGACCAAAGAUUCCAAUGCAGACCAAGUUCUGAUCACCCAGGAAAGGCCAAAGCAAAGACACUUUAACCAGAGAAACAUAAAACCAGGAUCUUCUCCCAUGUCAUUUUGUYACUGCAGGGCAGAAGAAAACAACGACCACGCCGGGAAGGUGUCCUGGAACUGCCUGGAAAAGACAGAGAGGUGUGCAGGCAAGAGCAGGAGGCAGCGCGUCUGCGGGAGAACCUGUUAAUGCUGUUUUCUCUGGUACCGAACCAACCUGCUCCCAGCCACUCUAGAACACAAACACAUCCCUAACCUCCUCCUGCUUUCCCAGGAGCAAGCGCCUCACUCUUCCUAUGCUGCUCCCUCACACUGCCCCACCAACAGAUUUUUAUGUCGACAUAAAUCCAGGCCCGUCCUGCGCCGGGGCUCUUCCUGCGUGAGCUGUUUGCAGCACUGGGCCCAGCGAGUCCCUGUGCUCCGGGGGCUCGGGGAGCCGCUGCCGCUCGGUGUCCACAGCCGGGAUACGGUCACCGGGCACGUCACUACAGCCCGUGAGGAUCGCCCCGAGCACCGGCAGGGCGGGGAGCGAACCGGGCUCUCCCGCAGCCACGGCAGCGAGCUCCACCGAGGGAAUCCCCCUCCCGCGCUGGAGAUGCUCCUGUCCAAUGGCACUGCCACUGGAAGAGARCCUUUAGCCUACCAGGCCCUUUUCAAAAAAACACAUCGAAGUGCUUUCUCCUCUUAUUAUUCUCCAUUUUAUUUCUAAUCCUGUGAGACAGUGCUGAUCCCAGAGCCCAGGAGAAAGCRGGAGAGGUCAGGACACUGCAUACUUGAGACAGAGAUUGAAGCUGGGGCAUGCUGUUCAGAAAGGGGACAAGUAAAUGCCGACUUCCAACACCUUUAGGAAACACUUCCCCACCCCC